rnacentral:rRNA from 1 species
CAGUCGCCACGGGAAAACGGAGGGGGCUAGCGUUGUUCGGAAUUACUGGGCGUAAAGCGCACGUAGGCGGAUAUUCAAGUCAGGGGUGAAAUCCCAGAGCUCAACUCUGGAACUGCCUUUGAUACUGGGUAUCUUGAGUAUGGAAGAGGUGAGUGGAAUUCCGAGUGUAGAGGUGAAAUUCGUAGAUAUUCGGAGGAACACCAGUGGCGAAGGCGGCUCACUGGUCCAUUACUGACGCUGAGGUGCGAAAGCGUGGGGAGCAAACAGGAUUAGAUACCCGAGUAGUCCCUGUCUCUUAUAC